rfam:Paramecium bursaria Chlorella virus NY2A Chlorella virus NY2A ctg_13 genomic sequence.
GACCCUAUGGUGAAACGGUUAUCACAGGUGGCUGUUAACCACCCGUUCGCAGUUCGAUUCUGCGUGGGGUCG